rnacentral:rRNA from 1 species
AUUGAACGCUGGCGGCGUGCCUAACACAUGCAAGUCGAGCGGAGCGGCGGAAGGGUGAUUAAGGCCUAGUAAUCUGCCUGUUAGUGGCGGAUCACGUCCGGGAACGGGCCCUAAUAACGCAUACUUUCAGAUGACCCUCGGUGGGCUUAGCUAGUUGGUGGGGUAAAGGCCUACCAAGGCGACGAUCCGUAACCGGUCUGAGAGGAUGAUCAGUCACACUGGAACUGAGACACGGUCCAGACUCCUACGGGAGGCAGCAGUGGGGAAUAUUGGACAAUGGGCGAAAGCCUGAUCCAGCCAUGCCGCGUGUGUGAAGAAGGUCUUCGGAUUGUAAAGCACUUUAGGUUGGGAGGCGUUACCAACAGAAUAAGCACCGGCUAACUUCGUGCCAGCAGCCGCGGUAAUUC